UACAGACCCAAAAUAGAAUAUUACAACUAUAUUAGAAAAUGGUUAAAUUUUAAACUGCUUGGCAGUCAAUAAAAAUUAUGAUCUAUUUCAGACUUUAAACUCAUGUCACUUACGUGUCUUUUAUAGUGAGCUGCCAUUUCAGACUUUAAACCUAUGUCACUUACGUGUCUUUUAUGGUGAGCUGCCACAUUCCCCCCAACAUCUUCUGGAUUAUUUCCUUCUUUAUUAUACAAAGUUCUCAGUUCUUUUUGGAGUUCAAUGCUUUAAUGUUCUUUCAUGGACAAUCCUUUCUAGCAGACUUUUGUUUCUCUGCUUCUCAUUUCAAAUCUAUGCUAUCAGAUUCAGUAAAUUUCAUGGAUUUUCCCUUAAUUUUUAUGAGGUAAUAGCUUCUUAAAGGAACAGAGAAAGAACAAUAGUAGAGUUUCUUGGUCGAUUUCUUUUCUUCCAACUAAAGUUAUGAAAUUUCUUUAUGUGAAAUGUGGUGGUUGUAAUUCCAAUUUUUAUUUUAUUAUUUUGUAUUUUUGCUGUUCAAUUUUGCAUUUUCAAGAUGGUAUUUGCUGAGUUUUCUUGAUUUCAACAUCUAAAUUGGGGGAAAAGAUUGGUCUAUGUAAUCUUGCAUCAAUUUUUUCAUGUUUUUGCUUUAUUUUCAUCUUCAAUUUUAAUUUUGCUCUGCUGAUGCUUUAAUUGGUUUCAUCUAUUUUGUGUUUUGGAUCUCCGGUUUAGCAUUUCAAAGAUGCUUGAGUUGAAAAGUUAAAUUUCAUUAUUUGAAAAGAAAAGAGAAAGGAAAAAAGAUUUAUGUUACUUUGAGUACAUCAAGCUUCUGGGUUUGUCAAUUUUGUUCUUCAUAUGCAAUGAGUUUAACUUGCGAAUCUUACACUCUAUUCCCUUUAGACUCCAUUUUAUGGGGCUAAGUUGGGUAUGUUGUUACUAUCUAUUGUACUAUCUUGUAUUUUUUUACGCCUUUUUUAGCAAUGUUAUUGCCUUGAAUCGGAUUUUUAUGUGAAAUAACAUCUCUAUAUCACUUAUGAGAUAGAGGUACUAUUGCAUACACUAUAUUUUCUUCGGACUCUAUUUUAUGAGAGUGCGUUGGAUAUGUUGUUGUAUUUGAGUGCAUGUGCAUACUGCCUGCUAUUAUGUGUUGUUUUUAUUACUAUCUAUUGUCUUUGCAUUUUACUUAUGUCUUUUUUAGCUUGUUAUUGUCUUGAACUGGGUUUUUAUAGAAAAUAACAUCUCUACCUCACCUAUGGGAUAGAGGUAUUGUUUACACACUCUAUUAUCUUCAAAAGUAUUGUUUCCACACACUAAUAAUCUUCAAACUCCAUUUUAUAGAACUACGUUCGGUAUGUUGCUGUUGUAUUUGAGAGCAUCUGCGUGUUGUCUGCUACUAUUGUUGUUUUUGUUAUUAUUUAUUGUCUCUUGUAUUUUCAUUACAUCUUUUUUAUCCUGUUAUUGUCUUGAAUCAAGUUUCUAUAGAAAAUAACAUCUCUACCUCACCUAUGGUAAAGAUGUAUUGUUUGCAGACACUCUAUCUCUUCAAAAUCCAUUUUAUGAAACAACGUUGGGUAUGUUGCUAUUGUAUCAUAUUCUCUGAUGUACUAUUUGUUGUUUUUGUUACUAUUUAUUGUCUCUUGUAUUUUUAUUACAUCUUUUUUUGCUCUAUUCUCUUCAGACUCUAUUUUAUGGGAUUAUGUUGAGUAUGUUUUAGUGUAUUUGAUUGCCUCAACUAUUAAUGCUUUAUCUGCAUCCUGAUAUGACCAUUAUUAGAACUUUCAAAGGAGUGUGUACAUUGUGAAAAUACUUGUACACAACAGGAUUACUGAAACAGUCAGUAAGGUGAAAAUGUGUGGAUAAUAUGUUAAAAUGGAUAGAGAAAAUAACACAUUCAACUGGAAAAGAAAGUGGGACUGAGGUAACACAUUUUGUGUUCCUAGCAUCAUUUAAUAUGCUAGGGGAUUUGAGUUUGUCUAAAGACUUAGCUGAUCUAGAGUUUGAGGAGGCCUCGAAGUUCUUCAAUGUCAUGAAGGGUACGUUUCUGCUUUAUUUCCGUAUCUUAUAAAGUGUAAUCUACAAAGUUUGAGGAAAAAGAUGAAGCGAGACAUGAGAAAGGUCGUGGAAAUCACGUCUAUAUUUAUCAAGGAAGAAUGAAAAAAGGUGCGGAGAAUGGGAAAGAUUUCUUGGACAAGUUUUAAUUUGAGAAUACUGAAGGGGAACCAAAAAAUUAUCAGAACAUCAGAUCAAAGGAUGCAUAAUGGUACCUCUUGCUAGAUGCCGCCAAGAAGCUACAAAUUCCAUUUCUAAGAUGUAAAUAGUAUAGCAUGUUAUGUGAUGUAAAUAAUGUAAUGGAUGUAAACAAUUAUCGCUUGUCAACCAUGUAAUAUCUACAUGUAACUAAUGUAUGUCUUGUAGCUAAGAAAAUAUUUCAAUGUUGGGCCUGUGUUAAGCACGUGCCAUUACUACCCAGUCUGAAUAAUACACAUCAAAAGGAUUGAAUA